rnacentral:lncRNA from 1 species
GAAUUUAAAUCACAAAACAUGAUAUAAAACUACAAGAUAAAUUUAAACGAGUUCAAGUGACCUUAAUACCUUAAUAAAUAGAGGUUUCGAGGUACAAAUUUAGCACGAUGGUGAGCGGGGUGUUGCACCACCCUAUUGUGACAUCCUAGGUGACAAUUAAGACAAAUGGGUGUCAGAUACAGAUUUAGAAUAACGAGUGCAUGAUAAUAUUUAUGUAGCGAAAUCAAAU